rnacentral:rRNA from 1 species
CGCGUAGGUGGUUCAGUAAGAUGGGAGUGAAAUCCCCGGGCUCAACCUGGGAACUGCUUUCAUAACUGCUGGGCUAGAGUACGGUAGAGGGUAGUGGAAUUUCCUGUGUAGCGGUGAAAUGCGUAGAUAUAGGAAGGAACACCAGUGGCGAAGGCGACUACCUGGACUGAUACUGACACUGAGGUGCGAAAGCGUGGGGAGCAAACAG